UACGUAGGUGGCAAGCGUUACUCGGAAUCACUAGGCGUAAAGCGCAGGUAGGCGGUUUGAUAAGUCUCUUGUGAAAGCUCCCGGCUCAACUGGGAGAGGUCAAGGGAAACUGUCAGACUAGAGUGUGGUAGAGGAAGCUGGAAUUCCCGGUGUAGCGGUGAAAUGCGUAGAUAUCAGGAGGAACACCGAUGGCGAAGGCAGGUCUCUGGGCUGACACUGACGCUCAUGCACGAAAGCGUGGGGAGCAAACAGG
rnacentral:rRNA from 1 species